rnacentral:rRNA from 1 species
GACGAGGGGUCCAAGCGUUGUUCGGAAUCAUUGGGCGUAAAGCGGGUGUAGGCGGCUCUAUAAGUCAGAAGUGAAAGCCCCGAGCUUAACUCGGGAAGUGCUUUUGAUACUGCAGAGCUUGAAUGUGGGAGAGGGUAGUGGAAUUCCUGGUGUAGCGGUGAAAUGCGCAGAUAUCAGGAGGAACACCGGUGGCGAAGGCGGUUCUCUGGGCAUGACCUGACGCUGAGGAGCGAAAGUGUGGGGAGCGAACAGG